CUUCACAAUAAUAUUAUAUUAUUUAAAGUUUCCGUUACGAAACCAUGAAUAAAACCAUACAAAACUUAUCGACUAGAACUUUACAGAAUUCGGAAACAGAACGAUUUUGUAAAAGCGUUUUCUUCUAAAGCAUGAGAUGCAAAAUGUUAUUCUCAACGAGCUUGCAGAAAGUUCUUUUAAAAGAAGUUAUAGAAAUUAGUUUCAGGCUACUUGGGUGAAGUUGCUAGAAUCAGUGGACGAAGUGGUUACACUGGAUAAUAAACUAAAAGAUAAAACCCAAUAUACUAAUUUGCUUGAUAGUUUAAAAAAGAUUGGUGGUGGAAAGCCAAGAGAACAUGUUUUUUUGAUCAUGAAAAGUUUAUUGUUAAAAUAUUUAUCAGGUUAUUUUCGAAUCAGUUACAGUCCAAAUUGAAAAGGAAAUGGGGAAAAGAUAAGCUUAGAAAAUCUAGUAAAUAUAUGGAGUGUUUUACGAGAUAUCGGCGACGUGGAAGAAAAUGUUGACGGCAAUGCAGAAAUAUAGUUUCUUAUGUAUAUUUAUGUGAAAUAAAAAUUAAGUAAUGUUAGUUAAAA